GACGAACGCUGGCGGCGUGCUUAACACAUGCAAGUCGAACGGAAAGACCCUGCUUUUGUGGGGUGCUCGAGUGGCGAACGGGUGAGUAACACGUGAGUAACCUGCCCUUGACUUUGGGAUAACUUCAGGAAACUGGGGCUAAUACCGGAUAGGAGCUCCUGCUGCAUGGUGGGGGUUGGAAAGUUUCGGCGGUUGGGGAUGGACUCGCGGCUUAUCAGCUUGUUGGUGGGGUAGUGGCUUACCAAGGCUUUGACGGGUAGCCGGCCUGAGAGGGUGACCGGGCACAUUGGGACUGAGAUACGGCCCAGACUCCUACGGGAGGCAGCAGUGGGGAAUAUUGCACAAUGGGCGGAAGCCUGAUGCAGCAACGCCGCGUGCGGGAUGACGGCCUUCGGGUUGUAAACCGCUUUCGCCUGUGACGAAGCGUGAGUGACGGUAAUGGGUAAAGAAGCACCGGCUAACUACGUG
rnacentral:rRNA from 1 species